ensembl:lncRNA LOC120102900 uncharacterized LOC120102900
CACGCACCGUGAAGCUUCCUAGCACAGACCCAAAACCGGGCAGGGAGAGUUUGAGUGGGCGCCAUCUUAACUCAGGGCAGAACCUGUGCUCUUGAGCCUGCAAUACUAGGAGAAAAGAAGCGGCAACCAUGUUUUGUGUGUGAGGGCAAUCGGGCCGAAGCCAAGAAGAGCGCCAUAUUUGUUGAGGGUGCUGUGAAAAGUUUUGUAAAUAAGCUCUAUGUCCCACAAAGGGAAACCUGCACAUUCCAAAUUGAUGCUAGUAUUUCACUGAGACCUGGAGAAGGAAAAGAAAACCUCCACUGUGAUACCAUAGGUUAAAAGCAAGAUUAAGAUGACUGCCUUAAAAUUCUGCAGCUGACAAAUUUGCAUUGGAAUCUGUUAUUUCUCUGCUUCAAAGAAAAUGCUCUUUGUCAUGUGGCCUAUUAUGUAGAACCUAGACAAAUAGUUUAUUUUUUUAAUCAACCCCCCCAAAACCCCCAAAUCUCCACCCAGAUAUUUACAACUCCCAACAGUGAUGAAAUUACAAUUGUGACAUAG